rnacentral:rRNA from 1 species
CCUACGGGUGGCAGCAGUGCGGAAUAUUGGUCAAUGGGCGGGAGCCUGAACCAGCCAAGCCGCGUGAGGGAAGAAGGUACAGCGUAUCGUAAACCUCUUUUGUCAGGGAACAAAGGCGGGGACUAGUCCCCGGAUGAGGGUACCUGAAGAAAAAGCAUCGGCUAACUCCGUGCCAGCAGCCGCGGUAAUACGGAGGAUGCGAGCGUUAUCCGGAUUUAUUGGGUUAAAAGGGUGCGCAGGCGGCCUGUUAAGUCAGAGGUAAAAGCCCGGGGCUCAACCCCGGCGAGCCGUUGAAACUGGCAGACUUGAGUUGGCGAGAAGUACGCGGAAUGCGCGGUGUAGCGGUGAAAUGCAUAGAUAUCGCGCAGAACUCCGAUUGCGAAGGCAGCGUACCGGCGCCAGACUGACGCUGAGGCACGAAAGCGUGGGGAUCGAACAGGAUUAGAUACCCUUGUAGUC